GCCAACAGUUGCCAGCAUGUCCUCCGGGGAUGGUGGGGACACUGUUGGGACCGCCUCUGCUAAAGAGGAGGAAGGAAUGGGCAACGGUAGGUCAGCAUGCCCCGAAUUAUCCGGGCUACACGCGGGCUACAAUGGUCAGGACAAUGGGCAUCAACACCGAAAGGUGAAGGCAAUCUCUUAAACCUGUCCUUAGUUCGGAUUGUGGGCUGCAACUCGCCCACAUGAAGCUGGAAUCUGUAGUAAUCGCGUCUCAAAAUGGCGCGGUGAAUAUGUCCCUGCUCCUU
rnacentral:rRNA from 1 species